CCACACACACACACACACAAAAAAAAAAAAAAAAAAAAAAAAAAAAAAAAAAAAAAAAAAAAAAAAAAAUCUUCAUCUUCCUUUUCUUUACAU
rnacentral:ribozyme from 12 species